UGAGAAACACAGUAAGCCUUAGAUCUUCCU
rnacentral:piRNA from 1 species